CGGCAACAGCUCAAAUUUGAAAUCUGGCCCCCAGGGCCCGAGUUGUAAUUUGCAGAGGAUGCUUUGGGCGCGGCGCCUUCCGAGUUUCUUGGAACAGAACGCCACAGAGGGUGAGAGCCCCGUCUGGUUGGACGCCUAGCCUAUGUAAAGCUCCUUCGAC
rnacentral:rRNA from 1 species